CCUACGGGGUGCAGCAGUGAGGAAUAUUGGUCAAUGGACGAGAGUCUGAACCAGCCAAGUAGCGUGAAGGAUGACAGCCCUAUGGGUUGUAAACUUCUUUUAUAAAGGAAUAAAACGAGGCCCGUGUGCCUGUUUGCAUGUACUUUAUGAAUAAGGAACGGCUAACUCCGUGCCAGCAGCCGCGGUAAUACGGAGGAUCCGAGCGUUAUCCGGAUUUAUUGGGUGUAAAGGGAGCGUAGAUGGGUUGGUAAGUCUGUUGUGAAAGUUUGCGGCUCAACCGUAAAAUUGCAAUGGAUACUGGCAGUCUUGAGUACAGUUGAGGUAGGCGGAAUUCGUGGUGUAGCGGUGAAAUGCUUAGAUAUCACGAAGAACCCCGAUGGCGAAGGCAGCUUACUAAACUGUGACUGACAUUGAUGCUCGAAAGUGUGGGUAGCAAACAGGAUUAGAUACCCGAGUAGUC
rnacentral:rRNA from 1 species